rnacentral:rRNA from 1 species
ACUCCUACGGGAGGCAGCAGUGGGGAAUUUUGCGCAAUGGGGGAAACCCUGACGCAGCAACGCCGCGUGAGUGAUGAAGGCCCUUGGGUCGUAAAGCUCUGACAGAGGGAAAGAAAUGCAGGGGGGCUAAUAUCCUUUCUGCUUGACGGUACCCUCAAAGGAAGCACCGGCUAACUCCGUGCCAGGAGCCGCGGUAAUACGGGGGGUGCAAGCGUUGUUCGGAUUUAUUGGGCGUAAAGCGCGUGUAGGCGGUUUUUUAAGUCUGAUGUGAAAGCCCUGGGCUCAACCUGGGAAGUGCAUUGGAUACUGGAAGACUUGAAUACGGGAGAGGGCAGUGGAAUUCCUGGUGUAGGAGUGAAAUCCGUAGAUAUCAGGAGGAACACCGGUGGCGAAGGCGGCUGGCUGGACCGAUAUUGACGCUGAGACGCGAAAGCGUGGGUAGCAAACAGGAUUAGAUACCCUGGUAGUCCACGCCGUAAACGAUGAGAACUAGGUGUUGCGGGUA